rnacentral:rRNA from 1 species
UGGGGGAUAUUGCACAAUGGGCGAAAGCCUGAUGCAGCGACGCCGCGUGGGGGAUGAAGGCCUUCGGGUUGUAAACUUCUUUUGCUCUGAACAAGGCAUGCUAAUGGGUGUGUUGAGUGUAGGGGUUGAUUAGCGCCGGCUAACUACGUGCCAGCAGCCGCGGUAAUACGUAGGGCGCGAGCGUUGUCCGGAAUUAUUGGGCGUAAAGGGCUUGUAGGUGGCUGGUUGCGUCUGUCGUGAAAGCUCAUGGCUUAACUGUGGGUUUGCGGUGGGUACGGGCUGGCUUGAGUGCAGUAGGGGAGGCUGGAAUUCCUGGUGUAGCGGUGGAAUGCGCAGAUAUCAGGAGGAAUACCGGUGGCGAAGCCGGGUCUCUGGGCUGUUACUGACACUGAGGAGCGAAAGCAUGGGGAGCGAACAGG